rfam:Flavobacterium sp. KMS contig002, whole genome shotgun sequence.
UUUUAGCCCUGAUGGGAACGGCAUCCUUUUAUGGCAGUCCCGAUAGCUAUCGGGAUGCCAUAAAAGAUAUAGUGUACAGCAGGAUUAGCU